UACGUAGGUGACCAGCGUUGUCCGGAUUUACUGGGCGUAAAGAGCGCGCAGGCGGUCGUUCAAGUCGAGUGUGAAAGCCUCCGGCUCAACUGGGGAGGGUCACGCGAUACUGUUCGACUCGAAGGCAGGAGAGGGUAGUGGAAUUCCCGGUGUAGUGGUGAAAUGCGUAGAUAUCGGGAGGAACAUCAGUGGCGAAGGCGGCUACCUGGCCCAAUACUGACACUCAGGUGCGACAGCGUGGGGAGCAAACAGG
rnacentral:rRNA from 1 species